rnacentral:rRNA from 1 species
GAUGAACGCUGGCGGCGUGCCUAAUACAUGCAAGUCGAGCGAACAGACGAGGAGCUUGCUCCUCUGACGUUAGCGGCGGACGGGUGAGUAACACGUGGAUAACCUACCUAUAAGACUGGGAUAACUUCGGGAAACCGGAGCUAAUACCGGAUAAUAUAUUGAACCGCAUGGUUCAAUAGUGAAAGACGGUUUUGCUGUCACUUAUAGAUGGAUCCGCGCCGCAUUAGCUAGUUGGUAAGGUAACGGCUUACCAAGGCAACGAUGCGUAGCCGACCUGAGAGGGUGAUCGGCCACACUGGAACUGAGACACGGUCCAGACUCCUACGGGAGGCAGCAGUAGGGAAUCUUCCGAAAAGGGCGAAAGCUUGACGGAGCAACGCCGCGUGAGUGAUGAAGGUCUUCGGAUCGUAAAACUCUGUUAUUAGGGAAGAACAAAUGUGUAAGUAACUAUGCACGUCUUGACGGUACCUAAUCAGAAAGCCACGGCUAACUACGUG